CACGAGAAUUGACAAUCUUCAGAACAAAAUAUUAAACAAACCCAGAACGCACACAAUGACGAAUUGCUUGAAAUCCAGCUUUAGUCCCACAAAAACAAAUUAAUUUGAUAUUACUUGCUUCUUGAAUUUGUGGGCUAAUACUGAUCUCAGUUGGCUUCACAAGUGAUCUUGUAAUGUAGUAACGUAAAUUUCCAAAGUAUCAAUUGUUCAAUUUAAUUUCGUCUUUCUUUGUAAAAUGCUAGGAGCGCAGACCUAAUAAAUUUGCAUAUUACAUGUAGCAUAUAUGUAUGUAAGUAUAGUUUAAAUAUAUUAAAAUAUGUGUCUGUGCAUCUUAAAGUAUAUAUGGAUUGUGCCCAUUCUUGAUUGAUUUAUUUUCAUACUGCGUCUUAUUUUAAAUGAAUAAUUAUGAAAUGAGAUUUUGCGUCCAUCCGGCCGCACCCACACCUACACAGCAAAUCAACAAACGAAGUGAUCAUAACAAUAUACACAAUCGCAUAAAAUGCCACAACCAUUGCACAUACCCAAAGAAUUGCGUUGCCACACCGAUCUGGGUUUGCCUCAUCAUUGAUGCUGAGGCCCUCCUUUUUUGGCCUGACAAAGGGCUAGUCUUAGCGCGCGUGUCACGCUACAUACUCGCCUUUGCAACGAGUACAAGUAGGUAGAGGUAGAUACGACAAACGUACUCGUGCUAGUUAAAUAUGUUCAUAUAGAGUUUGUAGGCUUUUGUUGUGCUCUAUUGAACGAUCACCGCGCAAACGAACUGCAAGUGAUCAUCACCAGCCAAUUUUGCUUCCUGCCUACGUCUUUCUCUUGUCCUCCGAAAAGUGACGCUAUGAUUAUCUUCAGCUACAAACAGACUUGUGGUUAAGUCUGUCACGGGCUCGGCCGGACUUCCAACGCGUGCUGAAGACUGAUUGCGGGACCAUCUCAAAAGCUGUUGCUUUUCGGUCCGAUUCCAAUGUACACACAUACAGACGUAAAAUAAACAAGCAUGCACGUACGAAAUCACACAUACAUAUGUAUGUAUGUACAUAUUUAGUUAUAAGCGAAUCGAUACCGAUAUUUAGGUAUUCCUAUAAUUAUAAACAGUUCUGUAAUUAUUUUAAUUCAGUUUCAUAAGUGUCGUUAAAUUAGAGGUAUUUCCAAGAUUAUUGAAAUUUCAUAAUACAAAAACCGUUUGAAUUUA